CCUACGGGCGGCAGCAGUGGGGAAUAUUGCACAAUGGGGGAAACCCUGAUGCAGCGACGCCGCGUGAGUGAAGAAGUAAUUCGUUAUGUAAAGCUCUAUCAGCAGGGAAGAAAAUGACGGUACCUGAGUAAGAAGCCCCUGCUAACUACGUGCCAGCAGCCGCGGUAAUACGAAGGGUGCGAGCGGUGUUCGGAAUUACUGGGCGUAAAGGGAGUGUAGGCGGAUAUGUAAGAUAGCGGUGAAAUGCCGGGGCUCAACCCCGGAACUGCCAUUAUGACUCUGUAUCUAGAGUAAUGGAGAGGAUAGCGGAAUACCAAGUGUAGAGGUGAAAUUCGUAGAUAUUGGGUAGAACACCGGUGGCGAAGGCGGCUAUCUGGCCAUUUACUGACGCUGAGGCUCGAAAGCAUGGGGAUCAAACAGGAUUAGAUACCCCUGUAGUC
rnacentral:rRNA from 1 species